rnacentral:rRNA from 1 species
GACGAACGCUGGCGGCGUGCUUAACACAUGCAAGUCGAACGGAAAGGCCCUGCUUUUGUGGGGUGCUCGAGUGGCGAACGGGUGAGUAACACGUGAGUAACCUGCCCUUGACUUUGGGAUAACUUCAGGAAACUGGGGCUAAUACCGGAUAGGAGCUCCUGCUGCACGGUGGGGGUUGGAAAGUUUCGGCGGUUGGGGAUGGACUCGCGGCUUAUCAGCUUGUUGGUGGGGUAGUGGCUUACCAAGGCUUUGACGGGUAGCCGGCCUGAGAGGGUGACCGGCCACAUUGGGACUGAGAUACGGCCCAGACGCCUACGGGAGGCAGCAGUGGGGAAUAUUGCACAAUGGGCGGAAGCCUGAUGCAGCAACGCCGCGUGCGGGAUGACGGCCUUCGGGUUGUAAACCGCUUUCGCCUGUGACGAAGAGUGAGUGACGGUAAUGGGUAAAGAAGCACCGGCUAACUACGUG